UCCCAUGAUGCCACAGUAUACGUGUCAGCGAUAACACGGGAGGGACUCGCUCCUCGGAAUUUCGUUUAUUUUCCUCCGGUUUUCUCCAUUUCCGUUUGACAGUCGGAGUGUUCCCUCCGCCAAACCACAACAUUUAUCUCGCUUUCCCUCUCGCACGGCGUUUUGAAGGUGGAAACACGCCGAACGAUGUGGAAACUGGUGUUAUUAACGGCCGUGGUUGGGGGACAGGCAUUCUAUCUGCCCGGUUUGGCACCUGUCAAUUACUGCACCAAAGGCAACGACGAAGCUAAAUGCGAGUCUCACAUUCCUUUGUUCGUGAAUCGGCUAAAUUCCGAAGAGUCCGUCAUCCCCUACGAGUAUGACCACUUCGACUUCUGCACGGUCGACAAUACCAAAGACACCAUCGUUGAGAACCUGGGUCAGGUCGUAUUCGGAGAGAGGAUCGAGCCCUCCCCAUAUGAGAUCGAGUUCAUGAAGAAUGAGACCUGCAAGACUGUCUGCACAAAAUCCUACGACCCUAAGAAGUCCGAAGAUUCCGGGCAUUUGAAGGAGUUGAAGCGAGCCAUGAACUUGAACUAUUAUCACCAUUGGAUCGUAGACAACAUGCCAGUCACAUGGUGUUAUAUCGUGGAGGGAGGAAAUGUUUUCUGCGCGACUGGAUUCCCCGUUGGCUGUUAUGUUGAUGCUGGGAAGAGACCCAAGGAUGCCUGUGUUAUGGAUAAGAGGUACAAGGACCCCAGCACGUAUUACAUCUUCAACCAUGUGGACCUCAACAUCACUUAUCACAGUGGAGAGAAGGAGGAAUGGGGUAGCGCUUUCCAGGGCCACGGAGGCAGGAUCUUGUCUGUUCGUGUGACACCGAGGAGCAUCAAGCACAGUGACGUCACAGGCUGCAACACUGAUGAUGUGAUGGGCAUUCCAGAGAACUCCAAGGAACCGGUCACAAUCAAGUACACAUACAGCGUCAUUUUCUCGAAAUCCGUUGGUGACAACCGCUGGUCCUCCCGCUGGGACUACAUCCUGGACUCUAUGCCACACACCAACAUCCAGUGGUUCAGCAUCCUCAACUCCCUGGUGAUCGUGCUCUUCCUGUCGGGAAUGGUGGCCAUGAUCAUGCUCAGGACGCUGCACAAGGACAUUGCGCGCUACAACCAGAUUGAUGCCGGAGAGGAUGCACAGGAAGAGUAUGGCUGGAAGCUGGUCCAUGGAGAUGUGUUCCGACCUCCACGCAAUGGCAUGCUGCUCUCAGUGCUGGUCGGCUCGGGUGUGCAGGUGUUCAGCAUGUCCCUCAUCACUCUGGCCUUCGCCUGCCUGGGUUUCCUCUCUCCGGCCAACCGAGGUGCCCUCAUGACCUGCGCAAUGGUGCUGUACGUCUGCCUAGGGUUCCCUGCUGGAUACACGGCCGCGCGACUCUACAAGAGCUUUGGGGGAGAGAAGUGGAAGUCGAACGUGCUCUUGACCUCUAUGCUGUGCCCUGGGAUCGUGUUUGCCCUGUUCUUCCUGAUGAACCUGAUCUUCUGGUACAAGGGAUCGAGCGCAGCCAUUCCCUUCACAACUCUCUUGGCACUGUUGGCACUCUGGUUCCUGGUGUCAGUGCCUCUCACCUUCGUCGGCUCUUUCUUCGGAUACAGGAAGAGGACCUUAGAGAACCCCGUCCGCACCAACCAGAUCCCACGGCAGAUCCCCGAGCAGAGCGUAUACACGCAGCCUCUGCCGGGCAUCAUCAUGGGCGGCGUCCUGCCCUUCGGCUGCAUCUUCAUCCAACUCUUCUUCAUCCUGAACUCCAUCUGGUCCGCCCAGACCUACUACAUGUUCGGCUUCCUGUUCCUGGUGUUCCUCAUCCUGGUGAUCACCUGCUCGGAGACCACCGUCCUCCUCUGCUACUUCCACCUCUGUGCUGAGGACUAUCACUGGUGGUGGCGUAGUUUCCUCACCUCAGGAUUCACCGCGUUCUACCUCUUCAUCUACUGCGUCCAUUACUUUGUGACGAAGCUCAACAUCGAGGGCGUGGUGUCCUCCAUCCUCUACUUCGGCUACACCUUCAUCAUGGUGUUCCUCUUCUUCAUCUUGACAGGAACCAUUGGCUUCCUCGCUUGCUUUUGGUUUGUGCGAAAGAUCUACAGCGUCGUCAAGGUGGACUAAAGCUUCAAGCAUCUGUACUUAUUCCUGUACGUGUCUAAUGCCGUUAUCAAAAAGUGUCUCUGCCUACCAAAGAAGCGUAGAAAAGAGCUAAAAAUCUCCCAGCAGAGAGGAAAGACUUCCCCCGGGGCAGUGAUGCAGAAGAUCCUUCAUUUGGGUGUGUGAUUCUGAUAUCCCAAGGGCAUUAUAGAGAUGUACAUAACGCAGUUCCCUCGAGCAAGAAAAGAAGGAAUAGACUCAAUCAUUGUAUAAUAACGAUUUAUGUUGCGGAUAUUUUUUUUUUUUUCUUGUAUAGGGUGAUUUAUGAUUUACAGGGCAGUCCUCCACCAAACAUUUUUACCCCCCUUUUUUUUCUAACGAAAAAGAAGAGAGGAGAGAGAAUUGGGCCGAGAGAUUAGUGUCAAUCGGGUUUUGCUUUUUUUCCUUUUUUUUCCCUCUUACUUUUUUUUUCUCUUUCUUUCUUUUUCUUUUUCUUGAUUUUCUCUCUCUCUCACUUUUUCUUUCUUUUUCUCUUUCUCUUUCUC
rnacentral:misc_RNA from 1 species